AUUGAACGCUGGCGGCAGGCCUAACACAUGCAAGUCGAGCGGAUGAAGGGAGCUUGCUCCUGGAUUCAGCGGCGGACGGGUGAGUAAUGCCUAGGAAUCUGCCUGGUAGUGGGGGAUAACGUCCGGAAACGGGCGCUAAUACCGCAUACGUCCUGAGGGAGAAAGUGGGGGAUCUUCGGACCUCACGCUAUCAGAUGAGCCUAGGUCGGAUUAGCUAGUUGGUGGGGUAAAGGCCUACCAGGGCGACGAUCCGUAACUGGUCUGAGAGGAUGAUCAGUCACACUGGAACUGAGACACGGUCCAGACUCCUACGGGAGGCAGCAGUGGGGAAUAUUGGUCAAUGGGCGAAAGCCUGAUCCAGCCAUGCCGCGUGUGUGAAGAAGGUCUUCGGAUUGUAAAGCACUUUAAGUUGGGAGGAAGGGCAGUAAGUUAAUACCUUGCUGUUUUGACGUUACCAACAGAAUAAGCACCGGCUAACUUCGUG
rnacentral:rRNA from 1 species